UACGUAGGGUGCAAGCGUUGUUCGGAAUCAUUGGGCGUAAAGAGCGUGUAGGUGGCUUACCAAGUCGAUUGUGAAAGCCCUCGGCUCAACCGGGGAAGUGCAGUCGAAACUGGUAGGCUCGAGAACGGUAGAGGAAGGUGGAAUUCCUAGUGUAGAGGUGAAAUGCGCAGAUAUCAGGAGGAACACCGGUGGCGAAGGCGGGACUCUGGGCCGAUACUGACGCUGAGGAGCGAAAGCGUGGGGAGCAAACAGG
rnacentral:rRNA from 1 species